rnacentral:rRNA from 1 species
AGUGAACGCUGGCGGUAGGCCUAACACAUGCCAGUCGAACGGCAGCACAGUAAGAGCUUGCUCUUACGGGUGGCGAGUGGAGGACGGGUGAGGAAUACAUCGGAAUCUACUUUUUCGUGGGGGAUAACGUAGGGAAACUUACGCUAAUACCGCAUACGACCUACGGGUGAAAGCAGGGGAUCUUCGGACCUUGCGCGAUUGAAUGAGCCGAUGUCGGAUUAGCUAGUUGGCGGGGUAAAGGCCCACCAAGGCGACGAUCCGUAGCUGGUCUGAGAGGAUGAUCAGCCACACUGGAACUGAGACACGGUCCAGACUCCUACGGGAGGCAGCAGUGGGGAAUUUUGGACAAUGGGGGCAAGCCUGAUCCAGCCAUGCCGCGUGGGUGAAGAAGGCCUUCGGGUUGUAAAGCCCUUUUGUUGGGGAAGAAAAGCUAGAGUUUAAUAAACAGCAGUGAUGACGGUACCCAAAGAAUAAGCACCGGCUAACUACGUG